GACGAACGCUGGCGGCGUGCUUAACACAUGCAAGUCGAACGAUGAUCAGGAGCUUGCUCCUGUGAUUAGUGGCGAACGGGUGAGUAACACGUGAGUAACCUGCCCCUGACUCUGGGAUAAGCGUUGGAAACGACGUCUAAUACUGGAUAUGAUCACUGGCCGCAGGGUCUGGUGGGGGAAAGAUUUUUUGGUGGGGGAUGGACUCGCGGCCUAUCAGCUUGUUGGUGAGGUAAUGGCUCACCAAGGCGACGACGGGUAGCCGGCCUGAGAGGGUGACCGGCCACACUGGGACUGAGACACGGCCCAGACUCCUACGGGAGGCAGCAGUGGGGAAUAUUGCACAAUGGGCGAAAGCCUGAUGCAGCAACGCCGCGUGAGGGAUGACGGCCUUCGGGUUGUAAACCUCUUUUAGUAGGGAAGCAGCGAAAGUGACGGUACCUGCAGAAAAAGCACCGGCUAACUACGUG
rnacentral:rRNA from 1 species